rnacentral:rRNA from 1 species
UCGAGAAUCUUCGGCAAUGGGCGCAAGCCUGACCGAGCGACGCCGCGUGCGGGAUGAAGGCCUUCGGGUUGUAAACCGCUGUCGUAGGGGAGGAAGCGACCGUGAAGAACGGAAGUUGACCGAUCCUAGGAGGAAGGGCCGGCUAAUCUCGUGCCAGCAGCCGCGGUAAUACGAGAGGCCCAAACGUUAUUCGGAUUUACUGGGCUUAAAGAGUUCGUAGGCGGUGCAGAUAGUGGGGUGUGAAAGCCCUCGGCUCAACCGAGGAAUUGCGCUCCAAACUCCUGUACUCGAGGAAGCUAGAGGUGAGCAGAACAGAUGGUGGAGCGGUGAAAUGCGUUGAUAUCAUCUGGAAUACCGGAGGCGAAGGCGGCUCACUGGGGCUUUUCUGACGCUGAGGAACGAAAGCCAGGGUAGCGAACGG